rnacentral:rRNA from 1 species
UGCAAGUCGAGGGGCAGCAUGGUCUUAGCUUGCUAAGGCCGAUGGCGACCGGCGCACGGGUGAGUAACACGUAUCCAACCUGCCGUCUACUCUUGGACAGCCUUCUGAAAGGAAGAUUAAUACAAGAUGGCAUCAUGAGUUCACAUGUUCACAUGAUUAAAGGUAUUCCGGUAGACGAUGGGGAUGCGUUCCAUUAGAUAGUAGGCGGGGUAACGGCCCACCUAGUCUUCGAUGGAUAGGGGUUCUGAGAGGAAGGUCCCCCACAUUGGAACUGAGACACGGUCCAAACUCCUACGGGAGGCAGCAGUGAGGAAUAUUGGUCAAUGGGCGCAGGCCUGAACCAGCCAAGUAGCGUGAAGGAUGACUGCCCUAUGGGUUGUAAACUUCUUUUAUAAAGGAAUAAAGUCGGGUAUGUAUACCCGUUUGCAUGUACUUUAUGAAUAAGGAUCGGCUAACUCCGUGCCAGCAGCCGCGGUAAUACGGAGGAUCCGAGCGUUAUCCGGAUUUAUUGGGUUUAAAGGGAGCGUA